UCUGCCCGAGGCACUGCAGCUGCGGCUGCUGUGUCACUUGUGCGUCAGUAGGUGGCAGAGAGGAGAGAAGCUAAGUCUAUGCUCAGUGUUCUGACCUGUAAACAUCUGAAUGAUUAGUAGCCUAACAGU